rnacentral:lncRNA from 1 species
UGAGAAGUUUGAGAAAAAGCUAUUUUAGUAGCUAUGUUAUAUGUAUAUGUAUACACACCUACAGUGAUUACCAUGUAAAAAGAAAAAGAGAGAAGUAGAGGCGUGAGAGGGAACAGAAAAGGAGAAGGAAGCCACAACUGGAGCAUAUAGAGAGAGGAGAGAGCUGAUCAGAUGCAAGGAGAGAAAGAGAAGAAGAAAGGAAACCAUGGCCAAGAAAGAAAAGGAAGCAAGGAAGAAGGUAAACUCAAAACCCUUGUUUAAUACCUUGGUAUUUAUAUAUGGAUUCAUGUUUUAUGAGAUUUAUGGAGAGUAGAUCAUGCUUAAUCUUGUUGUGAUGGUUUAAACAUGGAUUAACAAGAAAUCUAAGGGAAGAAAAUUUCACCGAAUUUUUUUUGUUUAACUUCGAUUUGUGGGUUGUUUAGAAAAUUAAAAACAUGGUUAGACUCCUGAGAUAUAGUAGAACUCGCCGAAAAACUUUUUGGACCGUCGAAGAAGAGGAUCGGAGGUUCGCCACCGGCGAACUUUCUGACAAAGCCUGUUUGGGCUAAUUUCCAACCAGAUUUUGAAGAAAUUUUGUAUUAGAAAGUUGUAGAAAAUUAAAUUUCAUGUGGAAUGGAUAUAGAAUUCAUAAUUUUCGGAUAAGAGGAUUAAUUAUUAUGAAUUUUUUAAGUUUCAGCACUUUGAAAAAUUAUAAUUAAAUUAUCAGAAAAUUGUUUUGAGCUGAAAUAUUUUUACAGUAAUAUGAUAAUAUUAUUUAAGAAGGGAAAAAUAUAUGUACACAGCUGUGUAUUACACAGUUGGCUAUGGCGAUUCGCCAUAGCUAUUCUGGGCUACGGCGACGGGUGAACUGUCGUCAUAGCCCAAAAAACCGGUGCCAUAGCCCGAUUGUGUAAUACACAGUUGUGUAUAUACAUAUAGCUCAUUUAAGAAUUACUGGAAUUUUUUGGUGAAUUAUUGAAGAGCAUAAGUAUUCAUUGUAUUUUAAAGUUAAUUUAAACAAUAGUGGGAAUUCAUUGAAAAUUCUAUGAAUGGUGGAAAAUUAUGAAACUUGGUGAAAUAUUAGUGGUGUUUUGAGGACAUAAAAGUAUGUUGAUUUGUUAUUUCUAUUUUGAAGCUAUUAAAUGAUAGUUUUUAUAAAUGAAAAUAAUUGCAAAAAUUAUCGGAUAAUCCGAAAAAUGAGAAAAUUAGUUAAGAAGUCUAAAAAAUAUUCUAAAGGCUUUAAAAAAGUGUUAGUAAGCCCAUGAGAAGUUGGGACGUUAUGGAUCGUGUGUUUACUGGCUAAUGAAUGUAAACAGUUAAGUAACGAAGAAGUUACGAUAAAAAUAAAAAUAACGUUUGUUAAAAAUUAGAACGAGCUUUAUAAUUCGUUUUUGAAAUCAAAUUUUGAGGAAUGAUAUAUUUUGACGUAAAAUAGCAUAUUUUGACAUGAAGAAGGUAUUGUCUCAAAUUUUAAGAAUUUUUGGACGGAACUCCGAAUAUUAGAGAUUAUUGAAAAGUUAACAAGAAUGUUAAAAUAUAAUAACGAGAAGUAAAUUAAUAAAAGUGAAUAUUAUUAUGAAGGAGUUAUAUUGUUGACGGAAAAUAUUUUAUAAUGUUGUAGAUGACUCAGAAUCGAGUACGGGAGAAAGAAAUAUUGGAUGUGAAUAAUGUAUAGAUGAUGAACUAUGAACCGAAGUAAGUUUCCCUCACUUUGAGUAAGUUCCCUAACUUGUGCAAAUUAAUUAUUGUGUGCAAGUUUCUUGAUUCGUGAAAGUUCUUAAAUUUAUUUUAAAUCCUUAAUUUUGCAAAAUUCCUGAAUGAUGUUAGUUCUUUAGCUUAUGUGCAAAUUCAUUAUUUUAUUGAGCAAGUACCUUUGCUUACGCUAGUUUCUGGGAAUUCUGCGAUUUAUGUGAAAUUUUUGACUUGACUAUGAUUGCAAGUUUCGAAAGAUUUGUGAAGUUCUAGAACUCGUGUUAAUAUGGAAGUUCUUGGGCCCAUAUUUUUACUAUGGUGAGCUCGUUUUUGGGCCCAUGGCAUUAUGAUGAGCUAAAGAAACUCAUUUUAUUGGGGCAACUUCUGUGAACAGAACAAUAUUUUUGAAUUUGCAAGUUCUUAACAUUCAUGAACUUAUGUGAAUUAAAAAGUAUGCCAACUAUUUCGGCUAUUCUAUUAAAUAAGACUGAGGAUGAACAAAUCUAUAACAUAGGGGAAUAAUUAUGGAGAGUUUUUUAGUCUGUGUGACUAUUAAACAUUAUGGAGAGUUUUUCAGUUUAUGUGAACAUUAUGUAGAGGUUGUAGUUUUAUAACUGUUAAACAUUAUAGAGAGUUUUGUUUUGUUUCAGUCUGUGUGACUGUUAAAGAAUGUGGAAAGUUCAUGGUCCUAAAGACCCCUCAGUAAUAAUCUAAAGAUAAAGAUUCUAAAAUUUAAGUUCUAAUACUUCUUAUUAACUCUUUGUUGUAGCACAUUUCUGAAGUUUCAAAAGAACUCGUGGUUAUUUAUGACCAUUCAAGUAACUAAAGCUGAUAAUUAUUUCUAUAAAUUCGAAAUAUUGAUUUAUUGAUUCAUGUUUAUUCAUUGAGUUGUUUCAUUUCAGUUUUAUACUUGCUGAGCAUAUUUGAUGCUCACUCUUGCAAAACAUUAACGUGUUGCAGGUAGAAAAGAAGGAUAAGACCAGAAAGGGUCAGAUUUAAUUUAUAGAAUGGAAGUUUAAAAAUCUUGUAAAGGUCACGGGUUGGUAUCAACGAUCAGGUAAGAGAAGUAAAAUGUAAGUUGCGAUCUAGGGACGAUGUAUGUAAUAAAAUGUUUAAAUAGACUAGUCAAAUCAAUAAGAAUUAUUGGUAGAUAUUAUGGAAGAUGUGUAUCGUAAUGCACCGAAUCUGCUGUAGCAAGUACGGGAAUUUGGGGGCGUUACAAUUGGUCACCUGUAGAUACGUAGGAUAGCAUUGUAAGCUUUUUUGUAGACUUGUGUGCCUCCCCUUUUCUGUUAACAGUGUGCUUAAUUAAUCAUGCUCAUAGAAAGAGAUGGGCACUGAUGGAAGAUCAAUUUAAUCACACAAUGCAAUAUUGUUGAAAUAAACUUAAUUGUCCUUAAAUGAUAUCCUUAACCUAAAUAGUGUACAAAUGGUGAAUUAGACGUAUAGGAAUGCUUAAAGCAGCAUUUUUACUCUUUAACUGUUCAAACCACUUCUGCAUAGUUGCUACUUGCUACAGACCACUUAAUUGGUAUAGUGACUAAGUAAUAAGUGUUCUAUAUUACCUUUCUUAAGUCCAUACAUAGAGUCUUAUCUGGACUUGUCAAACCAUAACAUAGAUGAUUCAUUCAGGCUAUAUAUUUGCAAUUUUUAUUUUAGAUCUUUAUCAUUUCUGCCACUGGAAUGAGAUGUAUAGCAAACUAUACGAGAAUAUCUCUGAAAAUAAUGAAUUAAAAGUUCCUUAAGUGAAGAAGGUAAAAGAUUGGCAAAACUAAUCAUUUACCCAUUAUACUUGGCACCUUUUACGUAUUAAACCACUAAACUUUUAAUUUGUUAGAUUACCCCAUUAAACUAAGAGUAAAAUACAGUGAUACCCCCUCUAGAUAAUCAUAAUAACACUCACUUCCUCUCUAGUUUUUUAACUAACAGUUAGUACCCCUGUAAAUUUUUAAAGUUGAUUAAAUAGAUAAAGUUACAUAUUUACCGUUGUAUGUUAUCAAAUUUUAAUUCCUGAAUAAUAUGUAUAUAUAUAUGUGUGUGUGUGUGUGUGUUUGUUUAAUUAUUCUUUUUUAAUACAAUACAUUUUAAUUAUAGUUUUAUUUGUAAUUAAGACUAUCUCAUUCAAAUUGUUGGUAACUUAUAAAAAAACAAAUUUAAUUUAAUUAAUACAUAUUUUUGGAUAAGUGAUACAAAUAUUAAAAUUUUUAAAUUAAAUUAUUAAUUGAGCCG